GCAAAGCCAGCUGGGCUCCUGAGUCCGGUGGGUACUUGGAGAACUUACUACGUCUAGCUGGAGGAUUGUAAAUGCACCAAUCAGCAUGCUGUGUCUAGCUCAAGAUUUUCUCCAUCCCCUUAUUUUGGGCCAGUGGCUGUCAUUACAUAUGAGGUGAGUCUCUUGAAGACUGCAGAUGAACUCAAGCUCCAUGAGGAGAUGUUUCAUUGUCGAGAGCAGUCAUGAUGGCCUGCACUCCACACAAUGCAACAGAGUGAAAGAGCAGGUUCUGCUUCUUUGGUGUAGUCCUGAAGCUUCCUAAGAAACUUCACAUCAGGUGAUGGAUAGGAGCAACCCUGUAAAACCAGCCUUAGACUAUUUUUCAAACAGGCUGGUGAAUUACCAGAUCUCCGUCAAGUGCAGUAACCAGUUCAAGUUGGAAGUGUGUCUUUUGAAUGCAGAAAACAAAGUCGUGGACAACCAGGCUGGGACCCAGGGCCAGCUGAAGGUGCUGGGUGCCAACCUCUGGUGGCCGUACCUGAUGCACGAACACCCCGCCUCCCUGUACUCGUGGGAGGAUGGUGAUUGCUCACACCAAAGCCUUGGACCCCUCCCAGCCUGUGACCUUUGUGACCAACUCCACCUACGCAGCAGACAAGGGGGCUCUGUAUGUGGAUGUGAUCCGUGUGAACAGCUACUACUCUUGGUAUCGCAACUACGGGCACCUGGAGUUGAUUCAGCUGCAGCUGGCCGCCCAGUUUGAGAAUUGGUGUAAGACAUCACAAUCCCAUUAUUCAGAGCGCGUAUGGAGUGGAAACGCUUGUAGGGUUUCACCAGGGCUGGUGAAUUACCAGAUCUCCGUCAAGUGCAGUAACCAGUUCAAGUUGGAAGUGUGUCUUUUGAAUGCAGAAAACAAAGUCGUGGACAACCAGGCUGGGACCCAGGGCCAGCUGAAGGUGCUGGGUGCCAACCUCUGGUGGCCGUACCUGAUGCACGAACACCCCGCCUACCUGUACUCGUGGGAGGAUGGUGAUUGCUCACACCAAAGCCUUGGACCCCUCCCAGCCUGUGACCUUUGUGACCAACUCCACCUACGCAGCAGACAAGGGGGCUCUGUAUGUGGAUGUGAUCCGUGUGAACAGCUACUACUCUUGGUAUCGCAACUACGGGCACCUGGAGUUGAUUCAGCUGCAGCUGGCCGCCCAGUUUGAGAAUUGGUGUAAGACAUCACAAUCCCAUUAUUCAGAGCGCGUAUGGAGUGGAAACGCUUGUAGGGUUUCACCAGUCUUUCCCAGGGAACUCCGAUGAAGUGUUCCAACAAAAUGAGCGAGUGAACCAAGAAGAGGAUGACAUUAGAUCCAGGAGAUACAACAGAGGAGAUAAUCUCCAGGAUGCCUGUGAAGAAAGAUCCCUGGAUCCCAGGAUGAUUAUAGGACAAGUUGUUCAUAAUCCAGCAGGCCAGAAGACUUCCAGGGAAACUCAUUUCAAGAUGAAAAUGGACCAGCCGCAGUGGCUCACGCCUGUAAUACCAGCACUUUGGGAGGCUGAGGCAGGCGGAUCACUUGAGGUCAGGAGUUUGAAACUAGCCUGGCCAACGUGGCAAAACUCCAUCUCUAUUAAAAAUACAAAAAUUAGCCAGGCAUAGUGGUGCAUGCCUGUAGUCCCAGCUACUUGGGAUGCUGAGGCAGGAAGAAUUGCUUGAACCUGGGAGGCAGAGUCUGCAGUGAGCCGAGAUCAUGCCACUGCACUCCAGCCUGGGUGACAGAGCCAGACUCCGUCUC